rnacentral:rRNA from 1 species
UACGUAGGGUGCGAGCGUUACUCGGAAUUACUGGGCGUAAAGCGUGCGCAGGCGGUCUGUUAAGACCGAUGUGAAAUCCCCGGGCUUAACCUGGGAACUGCAUUGGUGACUGGCAGGCUUUGAGUGUGGCAGAGGGAGGUAGAACUCCACGUGUAGCAGUGAAAUGCGUAGAGAUGUGGAGGAAUACCGAUGGCGAAGGCAGCCUCCUGGGCCAACACUGACGCUCAUGCACGAAAGCGUGGGGAGCAAACAGG